rnacentral:rRNA from 1 species
AUACGGAGGGUGCAAGCGUUGUUCGGAAUUACUGGGCGUAAAGCGCGCGUAGGUGGUCUGUUAUGUCAGAUGUGAAAGUCCACGGCUCAACCGUGGAAGUGCAUUUGAAACUGGCAGACUUGAGUACUGGAGGGGGUGGUGGAAUUCCCGGUGUAGAGGUGAAAUUCGUAGAUAUCGGGAGGAAUACCGGUGGCGAAGGCGACUACCUGGCCAGAUACUGACACUGAGGUGCGAAAGCGUGGGGAGCGAACAGGAUUAGAAACCCCGGUAGUCC